rfam:Bacillus sp. FJAT-27231 Scaffold1, whole genome shotgun sequence.
AGUAUCUUUAAUACAGUCCAGAGAGGCUGAAAAGGCGAGUGAAUACGGGAUGCUUCUAUUUAACUAUGCCUAUUUAUGCCCUUUUGUCCUCUCUGACAAAAGGGUUUUUAUU